rnacentral:rRNA from 1 species
UGGGGAAUAUUGGACAAUGGGCGAAAGCCUGAUCCAGCCAUGCCGCGUGUGUGAAGAAGGUCUUCGGAUUGUAAAGCACUUUAAGUUGGGAGGAAGGGCAGUAAGCGACUACCUUGCUGUUUUGACGUUACCGACAGAAUAAGCACCGGCUAACUCUGUGCCAGCAGCCGCGGUAAUACAGAGGGUGCAAGCGUUAAUCGGAAUUACUGGGCGUAAAGUGCGCGUAGGUGGUUCGUUAAGUUGAAUGUGAAAGCCCCGGGCUCAACCUGGGAACUGCAUACAAAACUGGCGAGAUAGAGUAGGGCAGAGGGGGGUGGAAUUUCCUGGGUAGCGGGGAAAUGCGUAGAUAUAGGAAGGAACACCAGUGGCGAAGGCGACCACCGGGGAUCAUACUGACAAUGAGGUGCGAAAGGGUGGGGAGCAAAAAGG